UUUCCGUAGGUGAACCUGCGGAAGGAUCAUUACCACACCUGAAGGGGAGAGUCCCUUUUUGGGGCGCUUCCCGACUCUUGAAAACAACAGUGGUGCUUCACGGCACUGCUUUUUGCGUUCCGCGAACUUGAAAAGAAAUCAUUUAUUUUGGUCCUUUCCGCAAGGAGGGAUCAACCACAACAAAAUUCCUGAAAUCAAAUGACCCAAGGUCAUUUCAUUGCGAGAAAAACUUGAUUGCAAAUUGUUUAAGGGCGAGCACUGUGAAAAGGUGGUCGACGAAACUUUAAAUAAUGAAACAAACACUUUCAGCAACGGAUGUCUUGGCUCCC
rnacentral:misc_RNA from 1 species